rnacentral:rRNA from 1 species
AAUGAACGCUGGCGGCGUGCCUAACACAUGCAAGUCGUACGAGAAAGGGGCUUCGGCCCUGAGUAGAGUGGCGCACGGGUGAGUAACGCGUGGGUAAUCUGCCCUUGGAUUUGGGAUAACUCUGCGAAAGUGGAGCUAAUACCGGAUAGUCUGGCUUUAAUUGAUAAGUCGGUAAAGGAUGCCUCUGCAUAUGCAUUCGUCCAAGGAUGAGCCCGCGUCUCAUUAGCUAGUUGGUAGGGUAAUGGCCUACCAAGGCAACGAUGAGUAGCUGGUCUGAGAGGAUGAUCAGCCACACUGGAACUGAAACGCGGUCCAGACUCCUACGGGAGGCAGCAGUGGGGAAUAUUGCGCAAUGGGCGAAAGCCUGACGCAGCAACGCCGUGUGAGGGAGGAAGGCUUUCGGGUCGUAAACCUCUGUCGGAAGGGAAGAACGGGCAUUGGUCUAAUAGGCCUUUGUUUUGACGGUACCUUUAGAGGAAGCACCGGCUAACUCCGUGCCAGCCGCCGCCGUAAGAC